CCUCAUUUAGUGACUGCCUCGUUUAGUGACCAUUCACAGUUUCGACGAUGAUGAAAAAGGAACUUUGCUACCAAGCUUCGGAUUUACGACCUUCAGAGGUCUGUAAAGCAAAGGAAAGCUGAAGUCUUCAUCCACAAAGACUGAAACUGGUUGUUUUUCCAGUGGGGUGGAAUGUUAGAAUCCUAGCAAUCAAUCAACCAUCCUGCUAGUUUGCUUGCUUCAUUUCUGCCAUUACAGAGAAAAGGGGGGGGGGUUGGAAGGUGAAUCAUUAGGUGCAGAUGGACUGUUAUCUAGUUCUCAGGAAUGCCCAAGGCUGUACCAGUGUGAGACCAGGAGAGAACCUUUGACAUGUGCAAGAGAGACUUGGAGACAGAAGCUGAGGGGGGGAGGAGAUGAAACGGACAGGGGGUAAAAUCAAGUUUUGGCGCGUGCGGGACUUAGGUCUAGCAGUGCUUGAGAGCUGUAUGCUACUUCUAAAUAAAUGAACUUUUUUUUGAACCUG